rnacentral:rRNA from 1 species
AACGAACGCUGGCGGCAGGCCUAACACAUGCAAGUCGAGCGAGCAUUUCGGUGCUAGCGGCGGACGGGUGAGUAACGCGUGGGAACGUGCCCUUUUCUGCGGAAUAGUCCUGGGAAACUGGGGGUAAUACCGCAUACGCCCUUUUGGGGAAAGAUUUAUCGGAGAAGGAUCGGCCCGCGUUGGAUUAGGUAGUUGGUGGGGUAAUGGCCCACCAAGCCGACGAUCCAUAGCUGGUUUGAGAGGAUGAUCAGCCACACUGGGACUGAGACACGGCCCAGACUCCUACGGGAGGCAGCAGUGGGGAAUCUUAGACAAUGGGGGCAACCCUGAUCUAGCCAUGCCGCGUGAGUGAUGAAGGCCUUAGGGUUGUAAAGCUCUUUCGGCUGGGAAGAUAAUGACGGUACCAGCAGAAGAAGCCCCGGCUAACUCCGUG